rnacentral:rRNA from 1 species
AACGAACGCUGGCGGCAGGCUUAACACAUGCAAGUCGAACGCAUCCUUCGGGGUGAGUGGCAGACGGGUGAGUAACGCAUGGGAACGUGCCCUUCAGUUCGGGAUAACCCAGGGAAACUUGGGCUAAUACCGGAUACGUGCGAGAGCAGAAAGAUUUAUCGCUGAAGGAUCGGCCCGCGUCUGAUUAGCUAGUCGGUGGGGUAAUGGCCCACCAAGGCGACGAUCAGUAGCUGGUCUGAGAGGAUGAUCAGCCACAUUGGGACUGAGACACGGCCCAAACUCCUACCGGAGGCAGCAGUGGGGAAUAUUGGACAAUGGGCGCAAGCCUGAUCCAGCCAUGCCGCGUGAGUGAUGAAGGCCUUAGGGUUGUAAAGCUCUUUCGUCCGGGACGAUAAUGACGGUACCGGAAGAAGAAGCCCCGGCUAACUUCGUGCCAGCCGCCGCCGUAA